UCAGGUUUGGCUGAGCGGUCGGUUAAGCGCCAGAUUUAAGCUCUGGUUCCUGAGAGGGAGCGUGGGUUCGAACCCCACACCAAGAG